rnacentral:rRNA from 1 species
CGAAGGAUCCAAGCGUUGUCCGGAUUUACUGGGUUUAAAGGGUGCGUAGGCGGACUAUUAAGUCAGUGGUGAAAGCUUGCAGCUUAACUGUAAAAUUGCCAUUGAAACUGAUAGUCUCGAAUAUAGUUGAGGUAGUUGGAAUGUAUCAUGUAGCGGUGAAAUGCUUAGAUAUGAUACAGAACACCGAUUGCGAAGGCAGAUUACUAAACUAUUAUUGACGCUGAGGCACGAAAGCGUGGGGAUCAAACAGGAUUAGAUACCCUGGUAGUCCACGCCCUAAACGUUGCAUACUCGGUUUUAGCGAUAUACCGUUAGGACCCAAGCGAAAGCGUUAAGUAUGCCACCUGGGGAGUACGCCGGCAACGGUG